UACGUAGGGCGCAAGCGUUGUCCGGAAUUAUUGGGCGUAAAGAGCUCGUAGGUGGCGUGUCGCGUCUGCCGUGAAAGCCCAUGGCUUAACUGUGGGUCUGCGGUGGAUACGGGCAGGCUAGAGGCUGGUAGGGGCAAGCGGAAUUCCUGGUGUAGCGGUGAAAUGCGCAGAUAUCAGGAGGAACACCUAUGGCGAAGGCAGCUCUCUGGGACGGUACUGACGCUGAGACGCGAAAGCGUGGGAGCGAACAGG
rnacentral:rRNA from 1 species